UAACUUUGGCUCCAAGAAUAUUAAACUUUAGAGAGGAAUCACAAAUAUUUUCUUAAAAGAAAUUGAAAUAUGGUUUGAAAAAAUAAAGUGUAAAAGAAAACAAGUUAUAGUAAAAAAUAAAAAAACCCAACUUUCAAACAUUAUUUUGUCCAUUAGUUUUAUUUUUAUUAAGUUAAAAAUAAUCAAAUAAUUAAAAAUAAGUUAAAAAUUACAAAACAUGUUUCACAUUCACUAAUCACAAGCUAAUCUACCAAAACCAGCCAAAGCCAACCAAUAUCACUCAGGUUCGAUAUGAAAAACCACCUUUAAAUGUAUAUUUUUUGGUAUAAUUGAAGCGUACCGACCAGUAUAACCGAUACCGUAACAAAAUUAAUAACAUUGCAUAGAACACCAAAAAGGUUUUGACAUUCACAUCAUGAAAUUAAAGCAUAUAAUCAAAAGGUAUAUAAAAAUUAUUUGAGUGCACUGGAACUAAAGCCCACAAUUCCAUCCUUAAAAGCACACAUUUCCUACAAGGUUAUUAUAUCAACAACUUAGAUCAAAUACAAUUAUGAAAUCUCAACCAUUCACGAUGGACCAAUCCAUCCAUACCUCACAUGGAUCCUCACCUCACAAUGUGAGGAAAAAUAAUUUUAAAUGACAUUAAUCUCUAGGAUAUUAGCAACGGACCAUUCAUUCCUAAAAAUAAAUGAAGAGAUAGGGUAACCCUCCCUAAACCAAUUAAAAGUUACAACUUGGACCAUAAUAUUCUGCAGGAGUAAAAUGAUACAAAUGCCCAAGUCCAGCAAUUGAUUAACAAAAAUAUAUGCAAAUUUGAAAGUAAACUAAAUUAAAUUAAACUAAUUCAAUGAUUAGUACUAAGAAUUAUAAAAUUAAACAUGAAGUAAAAGAUAAAACUAAUGAUUCACGAUAGUUUAGUUAUAAUGCUAAGUUUAGACCAUUUAGUCGCACUUAAAAUGCAAAAACAGAAUAUUUAAUACUACUUUUAGCACUUCAAAUGCCAUAAAGCUAAGUUUAAAUCAUUUAGUCACAAGACCAGGUUACCCUAGAAUAUUGGUUUCACAUGCUAUGUUAUAUAUGCUUCCAAAUGUCCUUAAUAAAACUAAAUAAAAAAAGAAUUGACGUUUGUUUUUAAAACUAGUAAAAAUAGAAUGAGAUUCUAUAUCCAAACUAGAAAAUCUAUCAACCACAUUAGGCUCAGCAAUGAAUUGAUAGUUUGGAUAUUGAGUUCCUAUAUCAGAGGAUAUUAGUUUCAUACUUAUGCGAUCGGUGAUCUUAUAUCCCUUUUGCUAAUGAUCAAAGCUUUAUAAGCCAUUGUAUGCCUUGAGUGCAGGCAUUAAAAAAAAAAAGGCAAUCAUAAGCUACAUAGUUUCUUCUAUUUUGCACUUACUGCUUUGUUCUAUGUUAAACAACAUAGCAGUUCAUUCUUCAGGUUCUAUUCUCUAUUCUCACUUAUCUGUUAAUCAUUGUGAUAAUUGAAAAACAAAAGUUGUAAAAGAAUAUAAACUUUGCUUCUUCCCUUUUAACGUCUAACCUACUCUCACUCACGUUUUUUCUACUAUGGAAUAUCCUUUUAAAACUUCACUACAGGGAUAAAUAAAUACCAUAACAUCUAUGACAUAUAGGACAUAUUUGGUGAAGCAUUUUUUCACCCUUUCAACCAUCAAGCAACCUUGUAUUACAAGGAUAAGCAACAAAACUUUAUGAAAAGAAUAAAUGCUAAUAGUCAUUACCAAACGUUUCUUUCAGAAGGCCUCCUGCAAAGCAGUUGGCUUUAAUUCCCUUUCUAUUUGCCAUGAUAAACUGCCCCAUAUGUUUCACACCCUAAUUCUGGGAUCUCCUCUAGAUCAUCCUUUUUUAUCGUCAGAAGGUAAAAUGUAAAUACCAUCAGAAACAAAGUAACAACCUCCCAAUUACCAAAUUAAACCAGACAUAUUCAUGAACAAAUUUCCUAUCAUCAUAAAUCAUAAACCAGCUCUAAUAUAAACAGUAAAUCACUCAAAUGGUAUACAAUUCAUCAAUUAAAUAAAACAAAAUGCUCAAAACCAUCUUUCAUCGAAACUCAUUUAAAAAAAAAAGCAACAAAAUGAUAAAAUGGUAAAAUUCUAAUCAUAAAAACCAAAGUCGAGCUUCAUUCUUUUUUUAAAAGAAAAAUAAAUAAAAACUCAGAAUUCAAAACCCAAAGACAUAUAAAUCCAAACAUUCCAAAGCUCAAAUCCAUUAAAAACAAAAAAAAUAAAAAAUAAAAUCAGACAACAAAGAUUAAACCUUUUUUUACAAAUUUAAACAAAAUUAAAAAUUAAAAAACCCGCAAAAGAUUUCACAAUGACAUUAAUUCUUGAGAAAGAAAUUUUCUUGUGAAGCAAGAGAGAGAUAGAGAAGUUUAGAGAUACCGACACGUGAAGGGGCUGUCACCAGUAAGCCCUAGAGGAAACGGCGCUAACCCAACCAGGCUAAGAAAGGAAAAUGAAAUACAAGAUAAAAGAGAGGAUCAGCUAGGGAGAGGGAAAGAGGAAGAAGAAGAAGAAGAAAAAAAUGGAGAAUUUUAAGGUUUGUAAAAAACAUAGUUUCACCUGCAAAUUCAAUUCUUGGUUUUUGAGAUGUUGACCUCAGUCGACGUCACAACUGGAUGAACGGUGGAGGUGGACGCAGGCCGUCGGAGGAGAGUAGCUGCGGAUGGAGAAGAGUGGUGGUUGUCCAGUUAAAGGGGGCUUGGGGUCCGGGAGAGAGAACCAUGAAUAGGGGGAGAUAAAAUGAUAAGAUAAGACUUAGGAUUUAAUCCCUUACUACAACUGAGGACGGAAUAUGGACGAAAAUUUUAUCGGUAUUUUAAAAAUUGAUUUAAACAUAUUUUUUUGUGUUAGGCUAGCCCGACUUAUUAUAAUUAUGCUAAACAUAGGAUCCUGCCAUGCUAGCUCAUUUGGUCCAUUUUGUCAACUCUAGUAUCUAUAUAUUUUUUGUUAAACAUUGGAUAAAAGAGUAUUUUCAAAAUUUUACUAGAUAAUAUUAUACGCCUUCAAUAAAUCUUUU
rnacentral:lncRNA from 1 species